AACGAACGCUGGCGGCAGGCCUAACACAUGCAAGUCGAGCGAGGACUUCGGUCCUAGCGGCGGACGGGUGAGUAACGCGUGGGAACGUGCCCUUUGCUACGGAAUAGCCCCGGGAAACUGGGAGUAAUACCGUAUGUGCCCGAGAGGGGAAAGAUAUAUCGGCAAAGGAUCGGCCCGAGGUGGAUAGGUAGUUGGUGGGGUAAUGUGCUACCAAGCGGACGUUCCAUAGCUGGUUUGAGAGGAUGAUCAGCCACACUGGGACUGAGACACGGCCCAGACUCCUACGGGAGGGAGCAGAGGGGAAUCUUAGACAAUGGGGGAAACCCUGAUCUAGCCAUGCCGCGUGAGCGAUGAAGGCCUUAGGGUUGUAAAGCUCUUUCAGUGGGGAAGAUAAUGACGGUACCCACAGAAGAAGCCCCGGCUAACUCCGUGCCAGCCGCCGCGGUAACAC
rnacentral:rRNA from 1 species